rnacentral:lncRNA from 1 species
AAUCAAAUUUUGAAUCAUAAGAUUUUUGAAUUCACAGUUAUUUCUCGCCUAGAAUUUAUUAAAGAAAUGAACCCUUAAUAUUUGCAAAAGCACUAUUCUACUCUGUUUGCCCUUAAGGAUAGCAUUUUACUACAACUGAAAGGCUGGAUAUAAGGGUAGGAGGCUAUUUGGCAUUAAUCCAUCUUGCUGUGUUGGUGUGUGCUUUGAAAUGUCUGAUACUCUGUGAUAUAUCUUUCUACCCCUGUUCUGGGAGGCCUUUUUUAGAAUCAUGAUAACGUAAGAGGUGAUUCGUCAUUCGUGUUUGCAUUAUUCUUGACCGUAAAAUGGACAUGCUUGGUUCUUUCUACUGUUUCUAAAUGUUACUCUUUCAUCCAAUUUUAAUGUUAUCCACAACUGCUCCCUUCAUACAUAUAUAUUCAGCUGACUCAAAUUCUAGAUGGUUGAUCCCCUCUGCAGCACUCAUUUUCUGAUGCCUCUAUUUUGUUUCCUUAUUUGUAUUCAUCAGAUUAAGACUUCCUUGCUUUUCUUCAAGUAUGUUUCACUUGUUUAUUUUAUAAUUUCAAAGUUAAUGAAUGUUGUUGAAACACUAUAAUUGCUUUCUCCCUCUUUCUCCUAGGUAAAAGAUGUUAGCUAUCAAUCUCCAGGGACCAAGGUCAAUCUUUUGAACAGUAUAAGUUUCUCCCUUGCUGAAAAACAGUAUUUUCUUUUCAUUUUGUCGUAAAUAAGUUACAAUAUAUUAAUAAAAAUAAAUUUUUUUUUGCCUUUCUUUAGCAUUUUGCAACUGGUAUUAUCUGAAUUUGAACACUGGAAGAUCUUAUUUUGGACCUACAAACUGUUGUAAGUUCUUUUGGUUUGAACAGAAACACAAUUUAUGUUGAAAUGCCACUUUUUCAUUUACUGGUGGCAGUGGUUUUAUACUUACAAAAGAUAUCCGCAUUGAAAUAAUGUGUAUCUUUUCAUGCGCUUAAGCAGUCUUGGAUUGAUUUUUGGACGGAGUGGAAGUGGGAAAACUACUCUUUUACGGGUCUACCUUUUGAUCCACAAUUGUGGUGUGUUAAACCAACUAUUCUAUAUCUACUGAUUUACCUGUAAUCUUAUCUUAAGUUCUACUCAAAUCUUUGACUUUUCAUACAGUUGAUAGCAGGGUUAAGUAAGCCAACAUCAGGCUCCAUCCAUAUUCGAAGAUAUAAUGAUGACGGUCACCCAAAUCAGUCUAUUGCCUGG